CGCCGUGCGCCCGCACUCCUCAGCCCUUGGGAGGUAGAUGGGACUGGGCGCCGUGGAGCAGGGGGCGGCGCUCGUCGGGGAGGCUCGGGUCGCACAGGAGCCCAUGGAGGUGGGGGGAGGCUCAGGCACGGCUGGGCUGCAGGUCCGGAGCCCUGCCCCGCGGGAAGGCAGCUAAGGACGGGCGAGAAAUUAAGCACAGCAGCUGCUGGCCCAGGUGCUAAGCCCCUCACUGCCUGGGGCUGGCGGGGCCGGCAGGCCGCUCCGAGUGCGGGCCCGCCGAGCCUACGCCCACCCGGAACUCGCGCUGGCCCGGAAGCACCGCGCGCAGCCCCGGUUCCGGCCCGCGCCUCUCCCUCCACACCUCCCCACAAGCUGAGGGAGCCGGCUGCGGCCUUCGCCAGCCCAGAAAGGGGCUCCUACAGUGCAGUGGCGGGCUGAAGGGCUGCUCAAGCGCCGCCAAAGUGGGAGCCCAGGCAGAGGAGGCGCCCAGAGCGAGCGAGGGCUGUGAGGACUGCCAGCACGCUGUCACCUCUCACUCAUAUAGAUUGCCAAUCUAUUUGUGAACCAGGUUUGCUGGAGUUUGGAUUUACUACUGAGUCAUAUUUGGAGCAUGCUGGAAUCUUACAACUGAGAUUACCGAGUCAGAAACUUGCAAACAUGAGUAACAUGGCCCUGCUCUGGAGACUACUGGGAACACAAACACAGCCAUUUAAGACAUCUACCUGCUUCUCCUUUGCCUUCCAUCAUGACUGAAAGUUGUCUGAGGUCUCCCAGCCACGUGUCCUGUACAGCCUGUGGAACUGUCACACUGAAUUUGGACACUGGAGAAGAGAAAGGAGAAGGCCAUUCUGGCUACCCUAGGACUCAGAGACGACUUUAAAGAAGAAUCAGAAAAUGGAGACUGGGAUUGGAAGCAGAGAUCCGAUGGCCAAAUUACAGUCUGCCACUGAAGCUAACACACCUAUGGAUAACCCAACCUGUAAACUCAAUGUGGAACACAGUUUGAGAAAAGAAGUGAGAAGAUUCAAUUUUGAAGUUGGAUCACUCUCCUACAGGCAAUGAAGACCACAUCACUGAUGACUCUGACUAAUACAUCAUGAACUUGCAGAAUUUUGGAUAUUUGACAAAUCUGAGGAAUUGAAGAGACGGGCACCUCACCUUUUCUGAGCAGAAGAGUUCAUUUGAUGAAACCUGAAGUAGAGAGCAGGCUCUCCUGCAAUUCUAUUACCUGUUUGAAUGUGAAGAUGGGAUGAAGUAGCAAGAAGGACCUCACAAAAUACCUCCCCCACCACCCCAUCAUCUUGCACUUUCCAGUCUGCAGAACUGUGAGAAAGAAAUUUUUAAAAUUAUUAUUAUACUUUAAGUUAUAGGGUACAUGUGCACAAUGUGCAGGUUUGUUACAUAGGUGUACAUGUGCCAUGUUGGUUUGCUGCGUCCAUCAACUCGUCAUUUACAUUAGGUAUUUCUCCUAAUGCUAUCCCUCCCCCAGUCCCCCAGCCCCUGAUAUGCCCCAGUGUGUGAUGUUCCCCUCCCUGUGUCCAUGUGUUCUCAUUCAACUCCCACCUAUGAGUGAGAACACACGGUGUUUGGUUUUCUGCCCUUGUGACAUUUUGCAGAGGAUGAUGGUUUCCAGCUUCAUCCAUGUCCCUGCAUAGGACAUGAACUCCUUUUUUAUGGCUGCAUAUAUUCCACGGUGUAUAUGUGCCACAUUUUCUUAAUCCAGUCUAUCAUUGAUGGACAUUUGGGUUGGUUCCAAGUCUUUGCUAUUGUGAAUAAUGCCACAAUAAACAUAUAUG
rnacentral:lncRNA from 1 species